rnacentral:lncRNA from 1 species
AUAAAAAGCAGGCCAUGCGAGCCACCUGUGGCAACCCACUUGGGUUCCCUGCGAUGUUGUGGAAGGGUUGUUGUUUUGCUGUUUCCAGUAAAUGUUGGUGUUGCUCAGUUUUUGGGUCCACACUGUGUUUAUGAGCUGUAACACGCACUGCAAAGGUCUGCAGCUUCACUCCUGAGGUCAGCGAGACCAUGAACUCACCAACCUGCUGGGAGGGAUGAACAACUCCGGACGCGCCACGUUUAUGAACUGUAACACCACGAAGGUCUGCAGCUUCGCUCCUGAGGCCAGCACGACCAUGAACCCAUUAGAAGGAAUGAACAACUCCAGACGCGCUGCCCUUAGGAGCCGUAACACUCACUGUGAAGGGAAAACCCCAGCUGACAUCUUUUCUUCUGGAGACAGUACAAGAUGACGUCUUUGGAGGGCUCUUCAAAUAAAGUAUGAUGCAAAUAAAAAGAUUUUGCCUUUUGGAAACUUCUUCCGAAACCCCUUAUGGUAUUUCAUCAAUCACAAAAAUGGGAAUUGAGUCACCUGCCCGAGCCCUGUAACCAGGACAGUUGUAGCACACGCUGAACGAUGGCCCUGACAGAUGUGACUGAGUCUCCCUCGCCUUCUGUUUUGUUUGUGUGUCCAGAACUCCUAUUUGUGAGAAAAUUGUAUUCCCUGCGCUUGAGUCCUGGUCUUCUGAGCUGACAUAAGGAACUGUAAGCAGUGGGGGCUGCCAUGCAGCAGGGCUCCAUCUGCCCCAAGUCUCUGUGACUGCUGCUCGCUGCACAGAGGCCCUGGGUGAUCAGAGGCUGCACCGGUGAACCUGUGCAGCCCCGCGCAUCCCGACAGGCCACACGUAAUUUCUGCCUCUCAGUGAAAUCUACCUGCAAGAUUUGCUCUUAUUUUCUCUGCAGCAAACAACAGGAUGAACUUUAUUUUCUCAUUGAAAACAAGGUGCCGGGAAGUGAUUGCGCACCCGUCGGAGAUGCACAGAGCCUUGGGCUUCAGACUCUCCCCUGAAGCCCCGAAAAGCCACCCUCAUUGACCACAUGUACUGAGUGCCCAUCCGAGCAGGACUGCAGGAGCGGCUGGACUGUCCAUGACCCCUAACAACCCACAUGUCCAGAGAUGGCGUUUCUGUCUUCUUGGGAGGGAGGCCUGUUGAGCUGCAUCUGCACCUCAUGAUGCCCGGAGUGGCACGUGGAGCUGCACCUGCACACUUGGCUUCUGGUUGCCGGGGUGCCCAGGGAGUUCACCAUCGGAUAGCAGCCCGCUGCCUGCCUCUCUCUGCCCUCCUGUGGGACACUCCUCGGCUCCCAUGACCUCUCGGAGCCCACAUUUGCCCUCCUGCUCACCUCACCAGGCCCUGGAAGUUGCAGGCUGCAGGUGGGCAAGGGAGGCUGCCACCACUGCUUGGGAUCCGGUCUCCUGGUGGCUGCCUGCAGAGACCGCCCAGAUAAGGGGACGAGGAGUUGGUGUCCUGUGAGACAAACUUCAGUCAAUGGCAGACAAGAGUCAGUGGAUGAAGUCUGCCUUCCUUCGUGGACUGUUUUAUGAUACUGUUUAUAGUUUAGUCAGCCUCUCCGGAGACAUCCUGUAAGGCAGAAAAAUCACGGUUUUGUGAGGAGCUCAGCAAUGCACUUGUGUUUGCUCUCCCUCCUUCCCUCCUUGCUCCUUCCUUCCUUCCCUGCUUCCUCCUUCCCCUUUCUUCCUUUUCUGCUUCCU